rnacentral:lncRNA from 1 species
GCGAUUCAGACUGAGUCCGAACGGACUAUUCCUAUUCCCUUGUUUUAUCCAUCAAAACUAUUUAUUUCCUUGCUAUUUGUUUCUGUUUGGUGUGUUUUAGCCUCCUCCGAUUUAUUUUCACAGCCAGGGAUGGUGUGAAGUAAGUCUGGGGGAGAAACUCUGCACGAUUUCCAUGUUUUUAUUGAGGCAGUCCCUAGGAUCGAG